GGUCCGCUUAGCGGUCCGCAACUCGAGUCGGGGAGUCAAUCCGCACCCGGCUCAAAUUGCCGACCGCUGCCGAUUCCACUGCCCUUCCUAAACCCUUCCCCGGUGACGCGGCAUCCAUCUCCAUGACCGCCCUCCGGCAACCUCGCCCUCGUUUCCUUCCUGCCGCAGGGCGAUCUCCUUCAUGCCAAGCUGGUCAAAUAUCGCUUUUUGUGUGUCCGCCGCGUUGAUGACCAGAAUCCUUGCGUGUUCGCACCUUCCGAGCGAUCAUCGUCGUCAUCGUCACCUCAAAUGAAGGUGCCUUUCACUUGGGAGCUCCUGCGGCUGAUGAUAAGGAAGGAACUUGCGGCAUUGAAUUCUCGCGCCAUUGUUUUCUCAGGAGCAGGAUCAGAGUGCAAGGAAGACGAUCAAAUCUUCCAUGGUGCUGGUCGUUACAUCGGUUCCCGAAACGCCCAUUGGGCCUAAGAAGCCAGAGGUUUUCUUGGUGCCAGAAUGAGCUUUGGGUGUGUAGGUGACUUUCCAUUGAGGAUCAAGUAUUGUGUUUCUAUACAUUUUAAGGUAACCUACCGGUUUGCUUUGAGCUCUUCUCAUAACAUCAAGAUUAAAACUAAUUGGAGCCCUUGCAUUUAGCUCUAGAACCAUACUCUUCUUAUUGGAUAAUGCAUCAUGUGAUUAAUCAAUAUACUCUUUUGCAUAUUGAUGAUUUACGUCAUACACUUCAAUUUUUUGUAUUUUCUUUUUCUUUGUUACAUCAGGUUCUAACAUGCUUGUCUUAAGAAGCUUGAUGAUCAUGUCCUGCAACUCUUUAGGCCUUGCUAUGAAUAAUUGUUUUAGCAGGUCUGGCUAUACUUAACCCAUGCCUAGUUGAUUCUGUUAGAAGUUGAACCUUAGUGACUUUAUGUUUGUUGCAAAUUCAUGGUGAGUCUUUGUCGGUAUAGACCAUAGAAGACUUGAGAUUGUCCUUUCAGAUAACUCAGGUCAUGAACUAUAUGCUUUUUGAGAUCUAGGAGUAGUAAUUUGUGCACCCUAAGCUGAUGGGUUUUUGAGUAGAAAGGGAAAAUCAAUGCUGCCCCUUUGAUGUCUUGUCUUUUUUGACCCCUGGGCAAAUUUUAAUUUAGUGCCAACCCCAUUUAUCCCAAUUAUCAUAAUUGUCAGGCGUGUCAAUCUUAUAACUGUAAGUGACACUCUUCCCUGCAAUGUGAGAUCCAGAGGAUUGCUCCCAGACCAUGCAAGUGAUCUACCCUUCAGUGAAGCCUGGUCCUCAACAAGGCAGCUGAGGUCUGGCUCGGCUUCAUCCUUGGCUGACUAUGGUAGAUUUGGUUUCAGAGGAACAAAUUUGUCCUCCGCCAUACCCUCACGCUGGCUGUUUUGGCAUGUAUGUAACCAGAUCUUGGGUUGUUUAAACUCUUAGCUUUAGCAUGCACAAGACACAUGUUUGUGCACUUGAUUCUUUUAUUAAUUCUUCUGUCUGCUGUAACAAGCCUUUGUGAUACUGAUAUAACCUUGUUGAUGCUUCAUAUCUAAUGCAAUGAGUGAUGGUCCACACUGGACCUCCACAUUCAAGCUCACAAACAAGCUUAGUAAUUAUCAAAGGAAUAGUGAAAUAGAGUACAUGUUCAAUCCUUGAUGAUGUGGAGUGAAAUCUAUUUUGCAGUCUUCUUACCCAAUCCUUGUUGGUUGAAUUAUAAAGUGCAAAAGAGAGAUACAAGCUUAUCAUUUCCAAAUUCUUGGGAAAAGAAAAACAUCAGAGUUCUUAUUUUGUGACUCCCUUAUAUAUGUUACUUACCAUAAUGGAAUGAGAUGAAUCUUAAUGGUUCAUAGCAUUUCAUCUAAUUUGGUUGCUCUUCUGUUUCCUCGUGAUUCCGUGAAACUAAAUCUCAUACAAUUAUGACAAAAGAUGGUAUUCACAUUUAAUUUGAACAUGAUUCUUCAGUUGAUGAACCACAUGGUUUUCAGGAUAGCUUUCAUGUGCAUUUUCACAUGACUCGGCUGUUGACUAAAUCAACUAGAAUUCGGAUUUUGUUUACGGACCAUGAAUACUGAAAAAUGCAUGACAUACAUAUAAUCCAGAACAAUAAUUUUGAUCAAUGUUUUCCUGGUUUCUUAAAGGGAUGGCAACUUUAUCUUGGUUCCUCUCUAUCUUCUCCAACACUAAAAUGUUUGUAUACUCUUUGUUGGUGCAUACUCCUGCCUUGUUCAUAUGGUGAUAAGAACUUGCAGGCAAUCAUUUUGGCUACCUUGAGAAAAUGCAGAGACAUGAGUAGAUUUCACCAAAGAUUUCUGUGAACGUCGAUUGUGUUGACAGAAUCUUGUCGGUGAAAGUAUCAUAUUCCUGGCCCUGCCCAAGUAUAUUUUAAAUGACAGAUAAAAUUGAAUCAUUUUCACUUUGGCAAAAGUUUUGUUCCCUGGUCCCUACUAAGAUAGUCCGGUGGUACCCCCUGGAGACCUGUUUAAAUUCCACAAGGACACGUAUCCUUUAUCGAAAAGUUAUAUUCUGUGACAUGAUUGACAAUGCUUCCUUUACUUAUUGGCAGUAUAUGAAACUUUAGGUAGGGUUUGUUUUCCUUUCUUCUUCCUGUCUUGGCCCUUGCACUAAUAUUAUCCAUCUUCUUGCCUUUUACUGAAAGAAUUUUGGAAGAUAAUUACAGCAUCAAUCUUAAAUCAUUGGAACUUAAAUAUCAUGUGUAUAUCACUAUUGAUAGGUGCCUAUUGUGGAUUACUCAACAUAUGGUUUCUGUACAAGAUUAAGUGCAUGAGAAGCCAAAAUAUAGAAAUUAGAGUGCAUUGCAAUUUUAUUUAUAUUGCUGGUGUAAGGUGCUUGGUGAUGUCCUAUGUUCAGACUUCUGUCUGAAGUGAAAGGUGAGAGAGUUUUUCCCUUUUUUUCCUUAAAAAUGUAUUACAAACCAAGGUAUAUAAUUUCGUACCAUACCGGAGUUUCGACGUUCACUCGGUACGGUACGAUACUAUAUAUCGAGCGUUAUACCAUUCGGCAUAUCGCUUGGUAUAUAUAUAUAUAUAUAUAUAUAUAUAUAUAUAUAUAUAUAUAUAUAUAUAUAUAUAUAUAUAUCGUUCCGUCCAGUAAUGGGCGGUCUGUGUACCGGUAAACUGACGAACCGGUACGUAGCGUCCGUACCGAGCGGUAUUAUUCGAAAUUGCAUACCUUGUGACAAACAACUUAUUCAUCAUAUGUUAGCUAUUCCAGGUUGUAGAGAAACUGCACCAUCUUGCUGUGUGAUAAUCCAGAUACAUUCUUAGAACAAUUACUACUACCAGCAACCCGUUCUUAACCAUUCUUCAUGGUUUAAAAAUAGAAGCUAUUGAUGAAGGUCGACACUGAUUGUUAUCUCUAUUAUGUGAUGAUUGAUUGAUGAUGAUAAUAUGCUGUAGUGGUAUAUGACAUAAAGAUAAAACUUCUUCAAAAUUGUCAUAACAGCUGUUGUUUCAUGGAAUGCCAUCCAUGGAAGAGUAAAGGGAGAAAAGAAAAGGGCAUUAUUGUAGUAACUCUAGAAUUGAAGGGCAAGGAGGUGAGACUACAGUCUAUAAAUACCUACAUCCGAGCACCUGUACAUGCUCUCUAUUAGUUUGCUGUCACUUGCCUCUCCCAUCAUCUCUCUUUCUCUCUACAUCGAUGGAAGGUUUGUGAAUGGCUCCAGUAACAGAGAAGGUAGUGUACAAAGAAAGUCAGAGGGUGAGUAGCCACCUUGGUUAAAAGCUUACUGUGAUCGGUAAGCACCAACACAAGUGUGCUAUCUGAGAGAAGGAGCAAGCUUUUGCUCACUGCAAACAUGCGCACACUAUGUGAUGUUUGCGAAGGUGCUGCUGCAGUCAUCUUUUGUGCCACAGAUGAGGCUGCUCUCUGUGGCCCAUGUGACAAGAAGGUUUAACUUUUUUCCAAAUGUUUAACCAUUUACGAGUAGCUGAAAUUAUUUAUCACCUAAACCCAGUACCAUAGUUCGUCUCAUUCACACUGCCACUGAUGACCAUCUACCAAGUUUGAUAAAUGUUUUUCAGGGGGUUUUCCUUGCAUUGAAACUUGAAAGUACUUUCCAUUGAUGCCAAUAUUCUCAAGACUGCAAAAGAGAUGAAUGUUGGAUGGGAGUAAUUUAUUGAUUAAAAAAAUAAAACAAUUGCUUGAUUGGACCAUAAACUGACAGUCAACUUCACAUAGACAUACUAAAAUUGGCAUUCCACUUUCUGAUAAAGUAAGUUUAGAUAAGAGUUGAACUUGAUAACUGUUACCGCAAAUCAGUGCGACAUGAAUAUAUAGCCUAAUAACUAUUCAAUCUGUUUUCUCCUAUCUCCUCAACGUACUUUAUUUGUUAGAAGUGUGGUCCUUCUAGUUGGUUAGCCUAAUAUAUAGACAUCUCUAUUACUAUCCUUUUAUCAUUACAUUACCAAAUAUAUUCAUUGGUUUCAUGGAUUUGGAUGUAUAUGUUUAUAUCGUUGCAGGACAUAUUAUUCUGAAUUUUUUAUUUCUGUCUGAAUAAGUGUUUUGUCAGCUGUUCACACUCUUCUGUUUGGUCUGCACACUCCAUAUCUUUUGGAAACAUCGACCAUGUCAUCAUUGAGAAACUUGAGAGGAAUGUGAACUAUUUUGUUUUUAAAUUUCACUGUUUUGUUGUUUCUAGAUAUCAUUGUUUCAUGAAGAAAUAGAUUCUAAUAAUGGUGUAGGUUCAUACUUGUAAUAAGUUGGCUAGCAGACACAUAAGGGUACAGAUUGCAGAACCAAGCGCUGUUGGUCAAUGUGACAUAUGUGAGAAAUCACCAGGUUUAGCCAUUUUCAUUAUAUACUUUGUCAUGUUUUCAAAUUUCUCUUAGUAUUAAUUUACAAACUGACUUUUCUUAUCAAGCUAAUUACAUAGUUCUACCAAGCAUUUCUUCCUACCUGAUGAAAUCCAUUGUUAUAGAUUUCAGCAUCCUAGAAGGUGUUUAUAGUGAGUGUUUAUGGAAAACAUGUUUCGCAAUUGUUUCCAGAAAGCAUUUGAAAAAUUUUCCGAUGCUGAUUUUCUUGAGAAUAAAAAGCAUUUUCCUGUUUAGUGUAUUUUAUUGCAUUGUGAGAUUUCUCUUUGUUGUAUUAAUUCGAUUUAUAAUUCAUUGUUACCUUAUCAAAUAAUCACAUAGUACAAGCAAGCACUUUAUCCUGCUUGAUGGAAACUACCUAAUAAAAGGCAUGUUUGACUACUUUUUUUUCAUUAUUGAAAAACCUCACAAAAUUUCAGAAGUAGACAUCUCUACUUCUGAAAUUUCAAAAAUAGGAAAAUAUAAAUUAAUAGUCGAAAGUUGAAAACAUAAUUUUUUAUCCAUCUUAAUCUUUCUACUAACCAACGAGAUGGAAAGGAAAAAUCAGAUUGAGAAUUGGAUAGAAAGUGAUGACCACCAAACAAAAAAAACGGAUGGUGAGGGCUAAUGUAUGGUGAGGGCUAAUGUAUUCAGUCUGUUCUACGAGGGGAUGAAUUGUUUAUGGGGGGAUGAAUUGUUUCUAUGACUCAUACCCUAGUCACCUAUAUCGCACAGAAACAAUCCAAAGACAAUAUUUCUAGAAAUAGAAAAACAUGAAAAAAAUAAAUAUUUUGUGUUUUUUCAUAAUUUUUUAAAGUACCAAAACAUUGAUUAUAAUAACGUCAGCAUCUUAGUCCAAAAUUUUGAAAUGCAAACAGGUUGAUAUUGUAUGUAUCUAUAUAUAGAUGGGGCAGAAAAAGGCAACAAACUGUCCUAUGAGUUCUAAAAUUUUAAUGAGGAAAUGGUUUCAAGAUUGGCUUUUUGUGUUGCUCCUUAAAGUGCUACUCUCUUUCAGAUUUACGAGUACAUGUUAUGUGAUGCUCUAUACUAAUCAAUUCAUCAACUUUUCUGGUAGCUUUCUUUUUCUGUGUAAUAGAUGGAUCUUCACUUUGCAUGGAAUGUGAUGUAAUUGUGCAUGUGGGAGGCAAAAGAUCCAACGAGCAAUAUCUCUUGUUAAGGCAGAAAAUUGAGUUUUUGGAAGAUAAACCUGGUCACUUUGAAGAUCUCAUGCUGCAGCAUCAUGACAACACCGAAGUUAGGUUGGAGAAUAAUAUCGUACUUCAUAAAAAACAAUUUCUUGAAAACAUUAGAGAAGAUGGACUGCUGCAGGAUGCCUCCCGUUUCCAUCUCCAAGCUAGACAUAAAUCGUAACAGGCUUGGUCCUACAUUGUUUGACCUUAAUGCAAGGCCACAUAGAGUACAAGAUCACAUCACUGAUUCCAGCCAGACAUCUCCAUCCCAGUUCCAUCAGAACUUAGCCCAUUCUCUCGUCUGGGAACUGUGCAAUUUAUGGGAACAGAGAGACCUUGGUUAAGUUUUUGCACGGAUGAGCCCGUACGCGAUGGGGAGGGCUGCAUGUGUCUGUCGCAAGUGGCGAUAUACCAUUCGCAAUCCUAAUUUGUGGCGCGAUGCAUGCCUUAGAAUUUGGUAGAGUUCUGGAGCAGAGGCAAAUUACAGAAUUGUCCAGUCCUUGUAUGAUGGUUCUUGGAGGAAAAUGUGGUUUCAGAGACCAAGAAUUAGAAACGAUGGUACUUAUUGGUCAUUCAUGGAUGUGUUGUGCUGCAUAAGUAGGAGAGCUUUCCACCUUUUUAUAUCACUUUAUUAAAGCCAAACACUAAUUUAUAUCUGGACUACUUUCCUUCUUUUUCAUGUUUUUAUGGUGUCAUGCUGGCCUACUUAAUAGACCAGACCUUAUCAUGCCUUUCAAGGGCUCUUAGGUGCAGCAGAUUCCUGAAAAGGAACCUUUUUGACUGAAGAACAUUUUCAUGUCCUUGCCUGCAAAUUUCAAGAACCCAUUUAUCAACUUUCUUUUUCAUGAUUCUAUCAUUAUUUAAUCUUCUGGGUUCAUAUAUGUUUUUAGACAUCUCUUCUGGGGAUCAUAAAAUUUCAAGUUCCUCAUCUUAUCAGGUCUCUAUGUUAGCCGAAACACCUACAUUCGUACAGGGGUUGCAGAGUGGGAAGUGACAAAUCCUGUCCACGUGGUCUGUCACUGCCGGCACUUGAGAUUUUAUCCAAAUGGCAAAUUCCUCUAUAAGGUCUGAGUUCUGGAACUGUAAUGCGGUACGAGGAAUCUCAUUUUUGAUAUCAUGUUGUAUUCACAUAAGAGUUGUUAUUAACAAGCAGAUAUCUUUGCAUCAAAGGCUGAUUGUGUCUUCAAAGGUGACUAUGUUUUAACCCAAGACCAGGCUAGUAUGAUACAUUCUUUGAUGUAUACUCAUUAUGAAAUAUCUACCGUAUAAUUUGUCGUCUCGGUUAUUCUUUCUUGGCCACAGAGUUACUGCAAUAUUGCUUGAAACUGCUCUCUUGUACCCAGGCUUGCGAUAUACUCUGCUAAGGAUGGAACUCGGGCUCGGAGGUACAGCUGUGGGGGCGAACAAUCGGCUUGAUCUCUUGAAACUUGUUACGACUGGUGUAAAUAAAAGUGAGGUGAAUGAUCAUGGAGAUUAUAUGCUUAGAAUUGUGGAAGGUUGGGAAGAAAAUGAGACACAUGAUCCAGAUGUGCCUGCUAUUUCACACAGCAGGGGUUUGACACCCUUUGUGUUUGUUCCAUUUGAAGAGGUACUACUGCCUAUAGAAGGUUUUAUUCCCUAAGUUUUCUUGUUAAGCCAUCUCAACAAUGAUGUUGGUAAGGUAAGUAGUUAUUUUUAUUGAGCAUUAUUGUUAAUAACAUAUGAAUGUUCUAAAAAAAGCAGUUUGCCGGCAA